CCGAGAAUAUUCGACAAUGGGCGAAAGCCUGAUCGAGCGAUACCGCGUGGUGGAUGAAGCGCUUCGGCGCGUAAACAUCUUUUAUGGAGGAGGAAGUUAUUGACGUUACUCCAUGAAUAAGGGGCUCCUAACUCUGUGCCAGCAGGAGCGGUAAUACAGAGGCCCCAAGCGUUACCCGGAAUUACUGGGCGUAAAGAGUGCGUAGGUGGUCGUAUUAGUCGUGCGUCAAAACCCCCGGCUCAACUGGGGAUCCGCGCGCGAAACGGUACGACUCGAGGGAGUGAGAGGUGAAUGGAACUCAUGGUGUAGGGGUGAAAUCCGUUGAUAUCAUGGGGAACACCGAAAGCGAAGGCAAUUCACUGGCACUUUCCUGACACUCAAGCACGAAAGCGUGGGUAGCGAACGGGAUUAGAUACCCCCGUAGUCC
rnacentral:rRNA from 1 species